AGAACUUAGCAGAGAUGCUUUGGUGCCUUCGGGAACUCUGAGACAGGUGCUGCAUGGCUGUCGUCAGCUCGUGUUGUGAAAUGUUGGGUUAAGUCCCGCAACGAGCGCAACCCUUAUCCUUUGUUGCCAGCGGUCCGGCCGGGAACUCAAAGGAGACUGCCAGUGAUAAACUGGAGGAAGGUGGGGAUGACGUCAAGUCAUCAUGGCCCUUACGAGUAGGGCUACACACGUGCUACAAUGGCGCAUACAAAGAGAAGCGACCUCGCGAGAGCAAGCGGACCUCAUAAAGUGCGUCGUAGUCCGGAUUGGAGUCUGCAACUCGACUCCAUGAAGUCGGAAUCGCUAGUAAUCGUAGAUCAGAAUGCUACGGUGAAUACGUUCCCGGGCCUUGUACACACCGCCCGUCACACCAUGGGAGUGGGUUGCAAAAGAAGUAGGUAGCUUAACUUUCGGGAGGGCGCUUACCACUUUGUGAUUCAUGACUGGGGUGAAGUCGUAACAAGGUAGGCGUAGCGAG
rnacentral:rRNA from 1 species